AACGCGAAGAACCUUACCAAGUCUUGACAUCCCUCUGACCGGCUCUUAAUCGAGUCCUCUCUUCGGAGCAGAGGAGACAGGUGGUGCAUGGUUGUCGUCAGCUCGUGUCGUGAGAUGUUGGGUUAAGUCCCGCAACGAGCGCAACCCUUAUCUUUAGUAGCCAGCACGUUAAGGUGGGCACUCUAGAGAGACUGCCAGGGAGAACCUGGAGGAAGGCGGGGAUGACGUCAAAUCAUCAUGCCCCUUAUGACUUGGGCUACACACGUGCUACAAUGGCGUAAACAAAGGGAAGCGACCUCGCGAGAGCAUGCAAAUCCCAAAAAUAACGUCUCAGUUCGGAUUGUAGUCUGCAACUCGACUACAUGAAGCUGGAAUCGCUAGUAAUCGCGAAUCAGAAUGUCGCGGUGAAUACGUUCCCGGGCCUUGUACACACCGCACUACUA
rnacentral:rRNA from 1 species